rnacentral:rRNA from 1 species
CAGGCCUCAGCACAUGCAAGUCGAACGAAGGCUUCGGCCUUUCAAGGCGCACGGGUGCGUAACGCGUGGGAAUCUGCCCUUGGGUUCGGAAUAACAGCUAGAAAUGGCUGCUAAUACCGGAUGAUGACGUAAGUCCAAAGAUUUAUCGCCGAAGGAUCGGCCCGCGUCUGAUUAGCUAGUUGGUGAGGUAACGGCUCACCAAGGCGACGAUCAGUAGCUGGUCUGAGAGGAUGAUCAGCCACAUUGGGACUGAGACACGGCCCAAACUCCUACGGGAGGCAGCAGUGGGGAAUAUUGGACAAUGGGCGCAAGCCUGAUCCAGCCAUGCCGCGUGAGUGAUGACGGCCUUAGGGUUGUAAAGCUCUUUUACCCGGGAAGAUAAUGACGGUACCGGGAGAAUAAGCCCCGGCCAACUUCGUGCCAGCAGCCGCGGUAAU